UAAAGUUAUUAAGGGCGCACGGUGGAUGCCUUGGCACUAGAAGCCGAUGAAGGACGUUACUAACGACGAUAUGCUUUGGGGAGCUGUAAGUAAGCUUUGAUCCAGAGAUUUCCGAAUGGGGAAACCCAGCAUGAGUUAUGUCAUGUUAUCGAUAUGUGAAUACAUAGCAUAUCAGAAGGCACACCCGGAGAACUGAAACAUCUUAGUACCCGGAGGAAGAGAAAGAAAAUUCGAUUCCCUUAGUAGCGGCGAGCGAAACGGGAAGAGCCCAAACCAACAAGCUUGCUUGUUGGGGUUGUAGGACACUCUAUACGGAGUUACAAAGGACGACAUUAGACGAAUCAUCUGGAAAGAUGAAUCAAAGAAGGUAAUAAUCCUGUAGUCGAAAAUGUUGUCUCUCUUGAGUGGAUCCUGAGUACGACGGAGCACGUGAAAUUCCGUCGGAAUCUGGGAGGACCAUCUCCUAAGGCUAAAUACUCUCUAGUGACCGAUAGUGAACCAGUACCGUGAGGGAAAGGUGAAAAGCACCCCGGAAGGGGAGUGAAAUAGAACCUGAAACCGUGUGCUUACAAGUAGUCAGAGCCCGUUAAUGGGUGAUGGCGUGCCUUUUGUAGAAUGAACCGGCGAGUUACGAUUUGAUGCAAGGUUAAGCAGUAAAUGUGGAGCCGUAGCGAAAGCGAGUCUGAAUAGGGCGUUUAGUAUUUGGUCGUAGACCCGAAACCAGGUGAUCUACCCUUGGUCAGGUUGAAGUUCAGGUAACACUGAAUGGAGGACCGAACCGACUUACGUUGAAAAGUGAGCGGAUGAACUGAGGGUAGCGGAGAAAUUCCAAUCGAACCUGGAGAUAGCUGGUUCUCUCCGAAAUAGCUUUAGGGCUAGCCUCAAGUGAUGAUUAUUGGAGGUAGAGCACUGUUUGGACGAGGGGCCCCUCUCGGGUUACCGAAUUCAGACAAACUCCGAAUGCCAAUUAAUUUAACUUGGGAGUCAGAACAUGGGUGAUAAGGUCCGUGUUCGAAAGGGAAACAGCCCAGACCACCAGCUAAGGUCCCAAAAUAUAUGUUAAGUGGAAAAGGAUGUGGCGUUGCCCAGACAACUAGGAUGUUGGCUUAGAAGCAGCCAUCAUUUAAAGAGUGCGUAAUAGCUCACUAGUCGAGUGACACUGCGCCGAAAAUGUACCGGGGCUAAACAUAUUACCGAAGCUGUGGAUUGUCCUUUGGACAAUGGUAGGAGAGCGUUCUAAGGGCGUUGAAGCAUGAUCGUAAGGACAUGUGGAGCGCUUAGAAGUGAGAAUGCCGGUGUGAGUAGCGAAAGACGGGUGAGAAUCCCGUCCACCGAUUGACUAAGGUUUCCAGAGGAAGGCUCGUCCGCUCUGGGUUAGUCGGGUCCUAAGCUGAGGCCGACAGGCGUAGGCGAUGGAUAACAGGUUGAUAUUCCUGUACCACCUAUAAUCGUUUUAAUCGAUGGGGGGACGCAGUAGGAUAGGCGAAGCGUGCGAUUGGAUUGCACGUCUAAGCAGUAAGGCUGAGUAUUAGGCAAAUCCGGUACUCGUUAAGGCUGAGCUGUGAUGGGGAGAAGACAUUGAGUCUUCGAGUCGUUGAUUUCACACUGCCGAGAAAAGCCUCUAGAUAGAAAAUAGGUGCCCGUACCGCAAACCGACACAGGUAGUCAAGAUGAGAAUUCUAAGGUGAGCGAGCGAACUCUCGUUAAGGAACUCGGCAAAAUGACCCCGUAACUUCGGGAGAAGGGGUGCUCUUUAGGGUUAACGCCCAGAAGAGCCGCAGUGAAUAGGCCCAAGCGACUGUUUAUCAAAAACACAGGUCUCUGCUAAACCGUAAGGUGAUGUAUAGGGGCUGACGCCUGCCCGGUGCUGGAAGGUUAAGAGGAGUGGUUAGCUUCUGCGAAGCUACGAAUCGAAGCCCCAGUAAACGGCGGCCGUAACUAUAACGGUCCUAAGGUAGCGAAAUUCCUUGUCGGGUAAGUUCCGACCCGCACGAAAGGCGUAACGAUUUGGGCACUGUCUCAACGAGAGACUCGGUGAAAUCAUAGUACCUGUGAAGAUGCAGGUUACCCGCGACAGGACGGAAAGACCCCGUGGAGCUUUACUGUAGCCUGAUAUUGAAAUUCGGCACAGCUUGUACAGGAUAGGUAGGAGCCUUUGAAACGUGAGCGCUAGCUUACGUGGAGGCGCUGGUGGGAUACUACCCUAGCUGUGUUGGCUUUCUAACCCGCACCACUUAUCGUGGUGGGAGACAGUGUCAAGCGGGCAGUUUGACUGGGGCGGUCGCCUCCUAAAAGGUAACGGAGGCGCUCAAAGGUUCCCUCAGAAUGGUUGGAAAUCAUUCAUAGAGUGUAAAGGCAUAAGGGAGCUUGACUGCGAGACCUACAAGUCGAGCAGGGUCGAAAGACGGACUUAGUGAUCCGGUGGUUCCGCAUGGAAGGGCCAUCGCUCAACGGAUAAAAGCUACCCCGGGGAUAACAGGCUUAUCUCCCCCAAGAGUUCACAUCGACGGGGAGGUUUGGCACCUCGAUGUCGGCUCAUCGCAUCCUGGGGCUGUAGUCGGUCCCAAGGGUUGGGCUGUUCGCCCAUUAAAGCGGUACGCGAGCUGGGUUCAGAACGUCGUGAGACAGUUCGGUCCCUAUCCGUCGUGGGCGUAGGAAAUUUGAGAGGAGCUGUCCUUAGUACGAGAGGACCGGGAUGGACAUACCUCUGGUGUACCAGUUGUCGUGCCAACGGCAUAGCUGGGUAGCUAUGUGUGGACGGGAUAAGUGCUGAAAGCAUCUAAGCAUGAAGCCCCCCUCAAGAUGAGAUUUCCCAACUUCGGUUAUAAGAUCCCUCAAAGAUGAUGAGGUUAAUAGGUUCGAGGUGGAAGCAUGGUGACAUGUGGAGCUGACGAAUACUAAUCGAUCGAAGACUUAAUCAA
rnacentral:rRNA from 1 species